GGGUUGUGAGGUUAAGCGACUAAGCGUACACGGUGGAUGCCCUGGCAGUCAGAGGCGAUGAAGGGCGUGCUAAUCUGCGAUAAGCGCCGGUAAGGUGAUAUGAACCGUUAUAACCGGCGAUACCCGAAUGGGGAAACCCAGUGUGACUCGUCACACUAUCAUUAACUGAAUCCAUAGGUUAAUGAGGCGAACCGGGGGAACUGAAACAUCUAAGUACCCCGAGGAAAAGAAAUCAACCGAGAUUCCCCCAGUAGCGGCGAGCGAACGGGGAGGAGCCCAGAGCCUGAAUCAGUAUGUGUGUUAGUGGAAGCGUCUGGAAAGGCGCGCGAUACAGGGUGACAGCCCCGUACACAAAAGCGCAUGUGCUGUGAGCUCGAUGAGUAGGGCGGGACACGUGGUAUCCUGUCUGAAUAUGGGGGGACCAUCCUCCAAGGCUAAAUACUCCUGACUGACCGAUAGUGAACCAGUACCGUGAGGGAAAGGCGAAAAGAACCCCGGCGAGGGGAGUGAAAAAGAACCUGAAACCGUGUACGUACAAGCAGUGGGAGCACAGGUUUACCUGUGUGACUGCGUACCUUUUGUAUAAUGGGUCAGCGACUUAUAUUCUGUAGCAAGGUUAACCGUAUAGGGGAGCCGCAGGGAAACCGAGUCUUAACCGGGCGUUAAGUUGCAGGGUAUAGACCCGAAACCCGGUGAUCUAGCCAUGGGCAGGUUGAAGGUUGGGUAACACUAACUGGAGGACCGAACCGACUAAUGUUGAAAAAUUAGCGGAUGACCUGUGGCUGGGGGUGAAAGGCCAAUCAAACCGGGAGAUAGCUGGUUCUCCCCGAAAGCUAUUUAGGUAGCGCCUCGUGAACUCAUCUCCGGGGGUAGAGCACUGUUUCGGCUAGGGGGCCAUCCCGGCUUACCAACCCGAUGCAAACUGCGAAUACCGGAGAAUGUUAUCACGGGAGACACACGGCGGGUGCUAACGUCCGUCGUGAAGAGGGAAACAACCCAGACCGCCAGCUAAGGUCCCAAAGUCAUGGUUAAGUGGGAAACGAUGUGGGAAGGCCCAGACAGCCAGGAUGUUGGCUUAGAAGCAGCCAUCAUUUAAAGAAAGCGUAAUAGCUCACUGGUCGAGUCGGCCUGCGCGGAAGAUGUAACGGGGCUAAACCAUGCACCGAAGCUGCGGCAGCGAACGUAUCACUUAAAGCGAUUCAGCGGGUUACGAUUGACGGAGCGAAGCGACGUCAAAGCGUAUACAAAGUCGAGUCGGUUUAAGGAUACGUUCGUUGGGUAGGGGAGCGUUCUGUAAGCCUGUGAAGGUGUGUCGUGAGGC
rnacentral:rRNA from 1 species